AACGAACGCUGGCGGCAUGCUUAACACAUGCAAGUCGAACGGAAUAAUUUAGCUUGCUAAAUUAUUUAGUGGCAAACGGGUGAGUAACACGUGGGUGAUCUGCCCUGCACUUCGGGAUAAGCCUGGGAAACUGGGUCUAAUACCGGAUAGGACCCUGGGAUGCAUGUCCUGGGGUGGAAAGCUUUUGCGGUGUGGGAUGGGCCCGCGGCCUAUCAGCUUGUUGGUGGGGUGAUGGCCUACCAAGGCGACGACGGGUAGCCGGCCUGAGAGGGUGACCGGCCACACUGGGACUGAGAUACGGCCCAGACUCCUACGGGAGGCAGCAGUGGGGAAUAUUGCACAAUGGGCGCAAGCCUGAUGCAGCGACGCCGCGUGAGGGAUGACGGCCUUCGGGUUGUAAACCUCUUUCAGCACCGACGAAGCGCAAGUGACGGUAGGUGCAGAAGAAGGACCGGCCAACUACGUGCCAGCCGCCGCCGUAA
rnacentral:rRNA from 1 species